AGUCGAACGAGCGAGAGAGAGCUUGCUUUCUCGAGCGAGUGGCGAACGGGUGAGUAACGCGUGAGGAACCUGCCUCAAAGAGGGGGACAACAGUUGGAAACGACUGCUAAUACCGCAUAAGCCCACGGGUCGGCAUCGACCAGAGGGAAAAGGAGUGAUCCGCUUUGAGAUGGCCUCGCGUCCGAUUAGCUAGUUGGUGAGGUAACGGCCCACCAAGGCGACGAUCGGUAGCCGGACUGAGAGGUUGAACGGCCACAUUGGGACUGAGACACGGCCCAGACUCCUACGGGAGGCAGCAGUGGGGAAUAUUGCACAAUGGGGGAAACCCUGAUGCAGCGACGCCGCGUGGAGGAAGAAGGUCUUCGGAUUGUAAACUCCUGUUGUUGGGGAAGAUAAUGACGGUACUCAACAAGGAAGUGACGGCUAACUACGUGCCAGCAGCCGCGGUAAAACGUAGGUCACAAGCGUUGUCCGGAAUUACUGGGUGUAAAGGGAGCGCAGGCGGGAAGACAAGUUGGAAGUGAAAUCUAUGGGCUCAACCCAUAAACUGCUUUCAAAACUGUUUUUCUUGAGUAGUGCAGAGGUAGGCGGAAUUCCCGGUGUAGCGGUGGAAUGCGUAGAUAUCGGGAGGAACACCAGUGGCGAAGGCGGCCUACUGGGCACCAACUGACGCUGAGGCUCGAAAGUGUGGGUAGCAAACAGGAUUAGAUACCCUGGUAGUCCACACCGUAAACGAUGAUUACUAGGUGUUGGAGGAUUGACCCCUUCAGUGCCGCAGUUAACACAAUAAGUAAUCCACCUGGG
rnacentral:rRNA from 1 species